UACGUAGGGGGCAAGCGUUGUCCGGAAUCAUUGGGCGUAAAGAGCGUGUAGGCGGUCCGGUAAGUCGGCUGUGAAAGUCCAGGGCUCAACCCUGGGAUGCCGGUCGAUACUGCCGGACUAGAGUUCGGAAGAGGCGAGUGGAAUUCCCGGUGUAGCGGUGAAAUGCGCAGAUAUCGGGAGGAACACCGAUUGCGAAGGCAGCUCGCUGGGACGUUACUGACGCUGAGGCGCGAAAGCUAGGGGAGCGAA
rnacentral:rRNA from 1 species